rnacentral:rRNA from 1 species
ACGAACGCUGGCGGCGUGCCUAAUACAUGCAAGUCGAACGCUUCUUUCCUCCCGAGUGCUUGCACUCAAUUGGAAAGAGGAGUGGCGGACGGGUGAGUAACACGUGGGUAACCUACCCAUCAGAGGGGGAUAACACUUGGAAACAGGUGCCAAUACCGCAUAACAGUUUAUGCCGCAUGGCAUAAGAGUGAAAGGCGCUUUCGGGUGUCGUUGAUGGAUGGACCCGCGGUGCAUUAGCUAGUUGGUGAGGUAACGGCUCACCAAGGCCACGAUGCAUAGCCGACCUGAGAGGGUGAUCGGCCACACUGGGACUGAGACACGGCCCAGACUCCUACGGGAGGCAGCAGUAGGGAAUCUUCGGCAAUGGACGAAAGUCUGACCGAGCAACGCCGCGUGAGUGAAGAAGGUUUUCGGAUCGUAAAACUCUGUUGUUAGAGAAGAACAAGGACGUUAGUAACUGAACGUCCCCUGACGGUAUCUAACCAGAAAGCCACGGCUAACUACGUG